GGUGAUUUAGCUCAGUGGUAGAGCGCUUGCCUAGCAAGCGCAAGGCCCUGGGUUCGGUCCCCAGCUCCG
rfam:Rattus norvegicus chromosome 20, whole genome shotgun sequence.